UAGGGAAUCUUCCACAAUGGACGCAAGUCUGAUGGAGCAACGCCGCGUGAGUGAAGAAGGUUUUCGGACCGUAAAGCUCUGUUGUUGGUGAAGAAGGAUAGAGGUAGUAACUGGCCUUUAUUUGACGGUAAUCAACCAGAAAGUCACGGCUAACUACGUGCCAGCAGCCGCGGUAAUACGUAGGUGGCAAGCGUUGUCCGGAUUUAUUGGGCGUAAAGCGAGCGCAGGCGGAAGAAUAAGUCUGAUGUGAAAGCCCUCGGCUUAACCGAGGAAUUGCAUCGGAAACUGUUUUCUUGAGUGCAGAAGAGGAGAGUAGAACUCCAUGUGUAGCGGUGGAAUGCGUAGAUAUAUGGAAGAAUACCAGUGGCGAAGGCGGCUCUCUGGCCUGCAACUGACGCUGAGGCUCGAAAGCAUGGGUAGCGAACAGGAUUAGAUACCCUUGGUAGUCCAUGCCGUAAACGAUGAGUGCUAAGUGUUGGGAGGCUUCCGCCUCUCAGUGCUGCAGCUAACGCAUUAAGCACUCCGCCUGGGGGAGUACGACCGCAAGGUUGAAACUCUAAAG
rnacentral:rRNA from 1 species